rnacentral:rRNA from 1 species
CAAAUCCGCUUUGAUAAUGCUGGGAUGUGAUGGGGAGCGAAAUUUAGUAGCGAAGUAGCUGAUUUCACACUGUCAAGAAAAGUCUCUAUCGAGGUUAAAGGUACCCGUACCGCAAACCGACACAGGUGGGUGAGGAGAGUAUCCUAAGGCCAGCGAGAGAACUGUUGUUAAGGAACUCGGCAAAAUGACCCCGUAACUUAGGGAUAAGGGGUGCCACCAUCAGGUGGCCGCAGAGAAUAGGCCCAAGCGACUGUUUACCAAAAACAUAGGUUUCUGCUAAGUCGCAAGACGAUGUAUAGGAGCUGACGCCUGCCCGGUGCUGGAAGGUUAAGGGGAUCUGUUAGAGCAAUCGAAGCAGUGAACUUAAGCCCCAGUAAACGGCGGCCGUAACUAUAACGGUCCUAAGGUAGCGAAAUUCCUUGUCGGGUAAGUUCCGACCCGCACGAAAGGCGUAACGAUUUGGGCACUGUCUCAACAACAGACUCGGUGAAAUUGUAAUUCCGGUGAAGAUGCCGGAUACCUGCGACAGGACGGAAAGACCCCAUGGAGCUUUACUGUAGCUUGACAUUGGGUUUUGGUACUACAUGUACAGGAUAGGUGGGAGGCUUUGAAACCAGGACGCCAGUUUUGGCGGAGCCAUCCUUGGGAUACCACCCUUGUAGUACUGGGACUCUAACCAUAGGCCAUGAAUCUGGUCUUGGGACACUGUCAGGCGGGCAGUUUGACUGGGGCGGUCGCCUCCCAAAAGGUAACGGAGGCGCUCAAAGGUUCUCUCAGUACGGUCGGAAAUCGUACGUAGAGUGUAAAGGCAAAAGAGAGCUUGAUUGCAAGACAUACAGGUCGAGCAAGGAUGAAAAUCGGACUUAGUGAUCCGGUGGUUCUGCGUGGAAGGGCCAUCGCUCAACGGAUAAAAGCUACCCUGGGGAUAACAGGCU